UACGUAGGGGGCGAGCGUUGUCCGGAUUUAUUGGGCGUAAAGAGCGUGUAGGCGGCCUGAAAGGUCAGCUGUGAAAACUCGAGGCUCAACCUCGAGACGUCGGUUGAAACCAUCUGGCUAGAGUCCGGAAGAGGAGUGUGGAAUUCCCGGUGUAGCGGUGAAAUGCGCAGAUAUCGGGAAGAACACCCGUGGCGAAGGCGGCACUCUGGGACGGUACUGACGCUGAGACGCGAAAGCGUGGGGAGCGAACAGG
rnacentral:rRNA from 1 species